rnacentral:rRNA from 2 species
UAGCUUGCUAUUUGCUGACGACCGGCGCACGGGUGCGUAACGCGUAUAGAAUCUACCUUAUACUGGGGGAUAGCCUUUGGAAACGAAGAUUAAUACCCCAUAUUAUUAUUUUUUGGCAUCAUUAAAUAAUUAAAGUUUCGGCGGUAUAAGAUGACUAUGCGUUCUAUUAGUUAGUUGGUAAGGUAACGGCUUACCAAGACUUCGAUAGAUAGGGGUCCUGAGAGGGAGAUCCCCCACACUGGUACUGAGACACGGACCAGACUCCUACGGGAGGCAGCAGUGAGGAAUAUUGGACAAUGGAGGCAACUCUGAUCCAGCCAUGCCGCGUGUAGGAAGACUGCCCUAUGGGUUGUAAACUACUUUUAUAUGGGAAGAAUAAGGUCUACGUGUAGAUCGAUGACGGUACCAUAAGAAUAAGCACCGGCUAACUCCGUGCCAGCAGCCGCGGUAAUACGGAGGGUGCAAGCGUUAUCCGGAAUCAUUGGUUUUAAAGGGUCCGUAGGCGGGCAUAUAAGUCAGUGGUGAAAGUCUGUGGCUCAACCAUAGAAUUGCCAUUGAUACUGUAUGUCUUGAAUUAUUGUGAAGUGGUUAGAAUAUGUAGUGUAGCGGUGAAAUGCUUAGAGAUUACAUAGAAUACCGAUUGCGAAGGCAGAUCACUAACAAUAUAUUGACGCUGAUGGACGAAAGCGUAGGUAGCGAACAGGAUUAGAUACCCUGGUAGUCUACGCCGUAAACGAUGGAUACUAGUUGUUUG